CAAUAGCGUAUAUUAAAGUUGUUGCAGUUAAAACGCUCGUAGUCGGAUUUCGGGGCGGGUCCGCCGGUCUGCCGAUGGGUACGCACUGGCGGGCGCGUCCUUCCUUCCGGAGACUGGCCCUACUCUUAGCUGAGCGGGGUCGGGAGUCGGAUCGUUUACUUUGAAAAAAUCAGAGUGUUUCAAGCAGGCAGCUCGCUCUUGCAUGGAUUAGCAUGGGAUAAUGAAAUAGGACUUUGGUGCUAUUUUGUUGGUUUCGAACACCGAAGUAAUGAUUAACAGGGACAGUCAGGGGCACUCGUAUUCCGCCGAGAGAGGUGAAAUUCUCAGACCAGCGGAAGACGAACCACUGCGAAAGCAUUUGCCAGGGACGUUUUCACUGA
rnacentral:rRNA from 1 species